rnacentral:rRNA from 1 species
GUGGAUUAGAUACCCUGGUAGUCCACGCCCUAAACGAUGAAUACUCGAUGUUGGCGAUAUACGGUCAGCGUCUAAGCGAAAGCGUUAAGUAUUCCACCUGGGGAGUACGCCCGCAAGGGUGAAACUCAAAGGAAUUGACGGGGGCCCGCACAAGCGGAGGAGCAUGUGGUUUAAUUCGAUGAUACGCGAGGAACCUUACCCGGGCUUGAAAGUUAGUGAAUGUGACAGAGACGUCACAGUCCUUCGGGACACGAAACUAGGUGCUGCACGGCCGUCGACAACU